UACAUUCUCUUCGAUUAUGGUUUGCUGUCAAUUUAGGAAUUUGGAUUUAUAACCCUUUUCCUCUCUAUUUGUUAAAAUCAGGGAAAACACUUACAAUAUGAAAAUCCUACCUGUGUUUUAUUAGCCUCUUAUCUGUUCUGUUUUUUUAAGGGGAGUGAAAUUGUGGGAUUUUGAAAUCUGAUAGAAUAACUUUCUCUAUAUAUUUUUUAAAAAGAUACUUUUAAGUCUUGAUUUUGUUGUUUUUGAUGUUGGAUUUUAAUGGGUUUAAAUUGUGAAAUCUAAAAGUAUAAUAGUAAAAGGAAAUGGAUCAAGUUCUAAAGUUUUUUUUUUUUUGUUUGUCUCAAAUUUCAAUUACAUUUGUUAGUAUACUUUUAUAAUUGUGGAUUACUUCUGGUAUUUAAAUACCAUGAAAUUUCAGUAAGUUGCGGAGACAAGUAGAGAAUCUGUCAUGUAGCCAGAACCACUACAGAGAGCAAAGAGUAGGGAGGCAAUGAGACAUGAGAGAAUUAGAAGUGUUACCAACAAAGGAUGCAAUUUCAACAUGAUUGUAGACCCAAUGCGGCUGGCUAAUCUUCUUUGCAGGAUAGCCUUUAUUGUCUACAACAAUCUGUCAUUAACACAGAUUGAACACCACAAUGGACAUUAAUGUUACACAAAUUAUACCAAGGAGACCACGUGAAGUACAUGAUGGAGAACUUUCCUUGCAUAAUGGAAAAUCAAUAUCUUAAAUAAAGGACUUGGAGUGGAACUUAGAGACAAAGGUAUCAAAGGAUACAUGUCCAAGUAGAAAGUAAAACCGAUUCAACAACAUUCAUUUCAUUUGACAAAGCGACUGAGAAAUUUGUAUCUAAUACUAUAAAAGAACUUGCAGAGAUAUAAGCAGAGGAAAUUUCAAUUAGAAAUAUCAAUUCUAUUUACGUAGCUUUUCCUCUUACAUACAUUAUCCCCAAUCUGUCCUUGCACUCGAAAACAAUGCCAGCCAAUUUUAUUUGUAUUAGCAAAACACCUGCACUUUAUGAGCAUCAUUAUUUGAACAAUUAACCAUCCACCCCCUUUCAUAUUUUACUAUUACAUUAAGUGAAAUAAACCAACCUUCAAAUACAAUUUUGUUCUUCAAAAAACACACAGAAUCUCAUGCAAAGCGUUAAUCAUGAUGUAUGUAUGUUUACUUUGCUAAAUUUAUGAGCUCUUAGGUUUUCUUCUUUUCCUAUUACUAACCAAUCAUAUUGACAGUUUAUGCAUGAUGUGUUAGUGUACAAUAUUGUUGAUUAAAAUCAUAAUGGUUGUUGAGGUUGUACUACUCUUUGUAUUUCUAUGGUAGGUAACGUAGAAGUAACAACCAUAUAGUUUAUCUCUACUAUAUACAAUCUCUUCUAUCAAAAAAAAAAAAAAAAAGAAAGAUUGGUGGGGAGAUAUUUCUAAGAAA